AGGGCAGACGGUGGAUGCCUUGGCUCUCGGAGGCGACGAAGGACGUGAUAAGCUGCGAAAAGCCCGGGGGAGGCGCAAAUAGCCGUUGAUCCCGGGAUAUCCGAAUGGGGCAACCCGGCAGGCUGAAGGCCUGUCAUCCCGUAAGGGAGGCGAACGUGGGGAACUGAAACAUCUAAGUACCCAUAGGAGGAGAAAAUAAACAAUGAUUCCGUAAGUAGUGGCGAGCGAACACGGAAGAGCCCAAACCCAUGUCGUCUAGGCGACACGGGGGUUGUAGGACCACGACGUGGCAAGAUAGAGUCAAGUGGAACGCCUUGGAAAAGGCGGUCAUAGAGGGUGAAAACCCCGUACACGACUGACGAUUGAAGCCUAGUGGCAUCCUGAGUAGCGCGGGGCACGAGAAAUCUUGCGUGAAACAGCGGGGCCCAUCCCGUAAGGCUAAAUACUCCCGAGAGACCGAUAGCGAACCAGUACCGUGAGGGAAAGGUGAAAAGAACCCCGAGCAGGGGAGUGAAAUAGACCCUGAACCCGUCUGCCUACAAGCGGUCGGAGCAUAGCAAUAUGUGACGGCGUGCCUUUUGCAUAAUGAACCUACGAGUUACCUUCCCCGGCAAGGUUAAGUACCUAAGGUACGGAGCCGAAGCGAAAGCGAGUCUGAAGAGGGCGGCCAGUCGGGGGGGGUAGACGCGAAACCGAGUGAUCUACCCUUGGCCAGGUUGAAGGUUGGGUAACACCAACUGGAGGACCGGAUGGGUAAGCGUUGAAAAGCUUUCCAAUGAGCUGAGGGUAGGGGUGAAAGGCUAAUCAAACUCGGAGAUAGCUCGUACUCCCCGAAAUGCAUUUAGGUGCAGCCUCUUUAUAGUAUAUCGUGAGGUAGAGCGACUGAUUGGAUGCGAGGGCUUCACCGCCUAUCAAGUCCAGAUAAACUCCGAAUGCGCGAUAUAUAUUUACAGGGAGUGAGGGCGCGGGUGCUAAGGUCCGUGUCCGAGAGGAGAAGAAUCCAGACCACCGGCUAAGGCCCCCAAAUGAUCGUUGAGUUGAACUAACGAGGUCGGAUCGCAGAGACAGCUAGGAUGUUGGCUUGGAAGCAGCCAUUCAUUUAAAGAGUGCGUAACAGCUCACUAGUCGAGCGAUCUGGCGUGGAUAAUAAUCGGGCAUAAACGAUCUGCCGAAGCCGUGGAUGUCGUAAGACAUGGUAGGGGAGCAUUCCAUGCGGCGUCGAAGAUGAGGGAUGACCCUUGUUGGAGCGCAUGGAAAAGCAAAUGUAGGUAUGAGUAACGAUAAGGGGGGCGAGAAACCCCCCCGCCGAAAGACCAAGGUUUCCUGAUCAACGCUAAUCGGAUCAGGGUGAGUCGGGACCUAAGGCAAAGCCGAACGGCGCCGCCGAUGGAAGAAUGGGUUAAUAUUCCCAUACUGCCUCAUGGAGUGACGUGGAGACGGAGAAGUGACAGUCCUGCCGGCUGACGGAAUAGCCGGUUGAAGGGUGUAGAUAUUGAUUCCCGUAGGCAAAUCCGCGGGGAGAGUCGAACCUGACAGUAUACCGAGUACUUGUACGAGGUAAUAUGGACGUAACCAUGCUCCCAAGAAAAUCCGCUAAACUUAUCCAUGCGGCACCCGUACCGUAAACGGACACACGUGGUCGGGUUGAGAAUACUGAGGCGCUCGAGUGACUCACGGUUAAGGAACUAGGCAAAUUGACCCUGUAACUUCGGGAUAAAGGGUCCUCGUCGUAAGGCGAGGCGCAGAGAAUAGGUCCAGGCAACUGUUUAACAAAAACACAUGGCUAUGCUAAAUGGAAACAUGACGUAUAUAGCCUGACACCUGCCCGGUGCUGGAAGGUUAAGAGGAGAUGUCAUCGCAAGAGAAGCGUUGAAUUGAAGCCCCAGUAAACGGCGGCCGUAACUAUAACGGUCCUAAGGUAGCGAAAUUCCUUGUCGGGUAAGUUCCGACCUGCACGAAUGGUGUAAUGAUCUGGACACUGUCUCAACCGUGAGCU
rnacentral:rRNA from 1 species